UGGGGAAUAUUGCACAAUGGGCGCAAGCCUGAUGCAGCCAUGCCGCGUGUGUGAAGAAGGCCUUCGGGUUGUAAAGCACUUUCAGCGAGGAGGAAGGUGGUGAGCUUAAUACGCUCAUCAAUUGACGUUACUCGCAGAAGAAGCACCGGCUAACUCCGUGCCAGCAGCCGCGGUAAUACGGAGGGUGCAAGCGUUAAUCGGAAUUACUGGGCGUAAAGCGCACGCAGGCGGUUUGUUAAGUCAGAUGUGAAAUCCCCGGGCUCAACCUGGGAACUGCAUUUGAAACUGGCAAGCUAGAGUCUCGUAGAGGGGGGUAGAAUUCCAGGUGUAGCGGUGAAAUGCGUAGAGAUCUGGAGGAAUACCGGUGGCGAAGGCGGCCCCCUGGACGAAGACUGACGCUCAGGUGCGAAAGCGUGGGGCAGCAAACAGGAUUAGAUACCCUGGUAGUCCACGCUGUAAACGAUGUCGAUUUUGGAGGUUGUGCCCUUGAGGCGUGGCUUCCGGAGCUAACGCGUUAAAUCGACCGCCUGGGGAGUACGGCCGCAAGGUUAAAACUUAAAGGAAUUG
rnacentral:rRNA from 1 species